CCCGCUGAACUUAAGCAUAUCAAUAAGCGGAGGAAAAGAAACCAACAGGGAUUGCCUUAGUAACGGCGAGUGAAGCGGCAAUAGCUCAAAUUUGAAAUCUGGCUCUUUAACAAGGGUUCCGAAUUGUAAUUUGUAGAGGAUGCUUCUGCUUUGGAGUCAAUUAAAGUUCCUUGGAACAGGACGUCAUAGAGGGUGAGAAUCCCGUUUGUGAUUGAAAAUCCUUUGCUAUGUGAAGCUCCUUCGACGAGUCGAGUUGUUUGGGAAUGCAGCUCUAAAUGGGUGGUAAAUUUCAUCUAAAGCUAAAUACCGGCCAGAGACCGAUAGCGCACAAGUAGAGUGAUCGAAAGAUGAAAAGCACUUUGGAAAGAGAGUUAAACAGUACGUGAAAUUGUUGAAAGGGAAGCGCUUGCAAUCAGACUUGCUUAUAUAUUGAUCAUCCAGUUAUUUUUUUUUGACUGGUGCACUCAAUUAUAAUCAGGCCAGCAUCAGUUUAGACGGUUGGAUAAAGGCCUUGGGAAUGUAGCUCUCUUUUGGGGGAGUGUUAUAGCCUUUGGUGUAAUGCAACCUGCCUGGACUGAGGACCGCGCUUUUUUAAGCUAGGAUGCUGGCGUAAUGGUUGUAAGCGACCCGUCUUGAAACACGG
rnacentral:rRNA from 1 species